CUUGUGUGGCGCGAGUUUCAGUUUCCGUUUGCUUAGUUGAUUAAAGAGCUCUGUGUGGAGAUAUCGAAUGAAAUAAAGAGUAAAAUAAAAGAAACAUUGAGAACAGAAGGAGGAAAUGAAAUGAGACAACCAAGAAUAGAAAACAAAUAAAGAGUUCUAGGUUUUGUUUUUAUUUAAAGGGUUCUAUGUGGAAAUAUCGAAUGAAAUAAAGAGUAAAAUAAAAGAAACAUUGAGAACAGAAGGAGGAUAUUAAAUGAGACAACCAAGAACAGUAAAUAAGUAAAGUUCUAGGUUGUUUUGUUUUUAUUUAAAGAGUGGCGUUUGUUUGGUUGAUUAAAGAGUUCUGAGUGGAAAUAUCGAAUGAAAUAAGAGUAAAAUAAAACAAACAUUGAGAACAGAAGGAGGAAAUGAAAUGAGACAACCAAGAACAGUAAACAAAUAAAGAGUUCUAGGUUUUGUUUUUAUUUAAAGAGUUCUAUGUGGAAAUAUCGAAUGAAAUAAAGAGUAAAAUAAAAGAAACAUUGAGAACAGAAGGAGGAAAUGAAAUGAGACAACCAAGAACAGUAAACAAAUAAAGAAGUUCUAGGUUUUGUUUUUAUUUAAAGAGUUCUGAGUGGAGAUAUCGAAUGAAAUAAAGAGUAAAGUAAAAGAAACAUUGAGAACAGAAGGAGGAAAUUAAAUGAGACAACCAAGAACAGUAAAUAAAUAAAGUUCUAGGUUGUUUUGUUUUUAUUUAAAGAGAGGCGUUUGCUUAGUUGAUUAAAGAGCUCUGUGUGGAAAUAUCGAAUGAAAUAAAGAGUAAAGUAAAAGAAACAUUGAGAACAGAAGGAGGAAAUGAAAUGAGACAACCAAGAAUAGUAAACAAAUAAAGAGUUCUAAGUUUUGUUUUUAUUUAAAGGGUUCUGUGAGGAGAUAUCGAAUGAAAUAAAGAGUAAAGUAAAAGAAACAUUGAGAACAGAAGGAGGAAAUGAAAUGAGACAACCAAGAACAGUAAACAAAUAAAGAGUUCUAGGUUUUGUUUUUAUUUAAAGGGUUCUGUGAGGAGAUAUCGAAUGAAAUAAAGAGUAAAGUAAAAGAAACAUUGAGAACAGAAGGAGGAAAUGAAAUGAGACAACCAAGAACAGUAAACAAAUAAAGAGUUCUAGGUUUUGUUUUUAUUUAAAGGGUUCUGUGAGGAGAUAUCGAAUGAAAUAAAGAGUAAAGUAAAAGAAACAUUGAGAACAGAAGGAGGAAAUGAAAUGAGACAACCAAGAAUAGUAAACAAAUAAAGAGUUCUAGGUUUUGUUUUUAUUUAAAGAGUUCUGAGUGGAGAUAUCGAAUGAAAUAAAGAGUAAAGUAAAAGAAACAUUGAGAACAGAAGGAGGAAAUGAAAUGAGACAACCAAGAAUAGUAAACAAAUAAAGAGUUCUAGGUUUUGUUUUUAUUUAAAGGGUUCUGUGUGGAAAUAUCGAAUGAAAUAAAGAGUAAAAUAAAAGAAACAUUGAGAACAGAAGGAGGAAAUUAAAUGAGACAACCAAGAACAGUAAACAAAUAAAGUUCUAGGUUGUUUUGUUUUUAUUUAAAGAGAGGCGUUUACUUAGUUGAUUAAAGAGUUCUGAGUGGAGAUAUCGAAUGAAAUAAAGAGUAAAGUAAAAGAAACAUUGAGAACAGAAGGAGGAAAUGAAAUGAGACAACCAAGAACAGUAAAUAAAUAAAGAGU